CAACAAUGACACUGCUGUGAAGAUUAUAACAUCUGGUGACCCCGAUGUGAUAGGGAACACGCAACCAUAAGAAAACACUGAGAGAAGGUUACAACAGGUACCUGCCACGAUGCUGGCCAGCUGCCUGGUGCUGGUGAUGGGGUAGAUGCUGCGUGCCUGCACGAUGGCAGAGGCGAUCCUCCUGGCGUGCCGCUCCUCGCCGUACGCACUGAGCACCGCCGCCAGCGACUGCCGGUCCAGCGCGUUCACCACGUCCGCCGCCGUGGGCAUGCCAGGACACCUGCACACACAGCAGCAAUGGGUCCAGUUAGUGCCCUGAGGGCAGCUGCCAGGCACCAGCGGUGAGCUUCCAUGGAGCCACACACACACAGCGCUGUGCAAACAGCUCGUGCCUUCUACAUCCCCUUCUCUCGCUGGUCGAGAGAAGCAACUGGAUAAAAUGGUCAUUACACAAAAGAGGGAUGCUGCUCCUUUCCUGAGGGAGCAGCUGGACCUGCUCAAGUGAAGUUUCCACAAACAGCAAGUGUGGCAGAAAAGGACAGGGACUGCAGCAAGAAGUUGUGAGCCUGCAGAUCAAGUGCAGGCAGAGAAACUGUGGAGAUAACAGGCCUCUGAAAGAGGGAGGUUCCUGUAAAUGUGUACCGCAUACUCCAAAAAUGCUACCAUUUAAAGGUGCAGUUAAUAAAACAUUACUGGUUUAAUCACUCACCACUGGAACCUUCCCCUCAUCUCCAAGAAGACAAAGACAACCAGGGCUGAGCACUGAGAGAGGAAAAAGCCUUUUUGGCAAAAGACAGACAGGAUGCUCGUGCAGUAUCAGAUGUGGUUGGAGGAUAAGAAUUCUCCAUUUUAAGAGGCAAGGAAAUGCACAGGGGUUGCAGAGCAGGCAGUUUUUGAGGUUCAAGAAGAAACGUUCUGUUAUAGUGUACCUGUC